GAGCCCAAGAUUGAAAGCUGGCGUCUUCGGCGUCCGCAUUGUAAUCUCAAGAAGUGUUUUCCGCUUCGGACCAUGCCUAAGUCCCUUGGAAAAGGGCAUCAUAGAGGGUGAUAAUCCCGUACAUGGCAUGGAGCGCCCGAAGCUUUGUGAUACGCUUUCUACGAGUCGAGUUGUUUGGGAAUGCAGCUCAAAAUGGGUGGUAAAUGCCAUCUAAGGCUAAAUAUUGGGGAGAGACCGAUAGCGAACAAGUACAGUGAUGGAAAGAUGAAAAGAACUUUGAAAAGAGAGUUAAACAGUACGUGAAAUUGCCAAAAGGGAAGGGUAGGAGGUCAGAGAUGCGGCCUGGGAUUCAGCCUUGCUUUUGCUUGGUGUUUUUCCCAGAUUGCAGGCCAACGUCGGUUUUGGGCACUGGAGAAGGGUAGGAGGAACGUGGCACCUCUCGGGGUGUGUUAUAGCCUCCUACUGGAUACAGCGACCGAGACCGAGGACAGCAGCGUACUCGCAAGAGCGGGCCUUCGGGCACCUUUACGCUUAGGGCGUUGGCAUAAUGGCCCUCUACCACCCGUCUUGAA
rnacentral:rRNA from 1 species